UACAGAGGUCUCAAGCGUUGUUCGGAUUCAUUGGGCGUAAAGGGUGCGUAGGCGGCGCGGUAAGUCGGGUGUGAAAUUUCGGAGCUUAACUCCGAAACUGCAUUCGAUACUGCCGUGCUUGAGGACUGGAGAGGAGACUGGAAUUUACGGUGUAGCAGCGAAAUGCGUAGAGAUCGUAAGGAAGACCAGUGGCGAAGGCGGGUCUCUGGACAGUUCCUGACGCUGAGGCACGAAGGCCAGGGGAGCAAACGGG
rnacentral:rRNA from 1 species